rnacentral:lncRNA from 1 species
GUCAGUGUUUUCGGGGAGGAAAUGUGCCGCCGACGCGGUGGGGUGGGACAGAGGGGAAGGGACACUGGUGUCAGAGCGCCUGCUUCCCUUCUGAUGCCUUGACUCCCUGCUGGGCUUACAGCACACACGGGGCUUGGGGAAGCCCUGCGAUCUGCGACAAACCUCAGAACCCAUCUGGAAGUGAGGGGCGCAGGGGGCUACCAGAAACUGUGGGCCCUGCACACGCGAAGCAAGGGUCCAGAGGUCCUUUUGAUUGCUGGACACAGCAUCAUGACCCUCGGAGAGAUGAAUGGCAGAACUCUGUUACUUCCAGCUUCUCUGAGAGGCGGUGGCCAGACAGGCCCACAUGGGGAUUGCAGCCGGGACAGGUAACAGCAAGCCAGGGCUGUAGGGGCAGCUUCUGUGUGGCAUCAGGUGGGGUUAGCUGGCUUUCGGGGGCUCCCUGUGGACUGGCAGUUGGAAUUAUGUUGUGGACUCUUG